rnacentral:rRNA from 1 species
ACGGGGCCCGCACAAGCGGUGGAGUAUGUGGUUUAAUUCGACGCAACGCGCAGAACCUUUACCUGGUCUUGACAUCUCGGGAAUCAUUUGGAAACAUAUGAGUGCCUCGCAAGAGGAGCCCGAUGACAGGUGCUGCAUGGCUGUCGUCAGCUCGUGUCGUGAGAUGUUGGGUUAAGUCCCGCAACGAGCGCAACCCUUGUCUUUAGUUGCCAUCAUUAAGUUGGGCACUCUAAAGAGACUGCCGGUGUCAAACCGGAGGAAGGUGGGGAUGACGUCAAGUCCUCAUGGCCUUUAUGACCAGGGCUACACACGUACUACAAUGGCAGGUACAAAGGGCAGCCACUUAGCGAUAAGGCGCGAAUCCCAUAAAACCUGUCUCAGUCCGGAUUGGAGUCUGCAACUCGACUCCAUGAAGUUGGAAUCGCUAGUAAUCGUAGAUCAGAACGCUACGGUGAAUACGUUCUCGGGGUUU